rnacentral:rRNA from 1 species
UACGUAGGUGGCAAGCGUUAUCCGGAUUUACUGGGUGUAAAGGGCGUGUAGGCGGGUCUGCAAGUCGGAUGUGAAAUUCCCAGGCUUAACUUGGGCGGGUCAUCCGAAACUGCGGAUCUUGAGUACUGGAGAGGAUAGUGGAAUUCCUAGUGUAGCGGUAAAAUGCGUAGAUAUUAGGAGGUACACCAGUGGCGAAGGCGGCUAUCUGGACAGUAACUGACGCUGAGGCGCGAAAGCGUGGGGAGCAAACAGG